rnacentral:rRNA from 1 species
UACGGAGGAUCCAAGCGUUAUCCGGAUUUAUUGGGUUUAAAGGGUGCGCAGGCGGAAGAUUAAGUCGGCGGUGAAAUUUUGCAGCUCAACUGUAAAAGUGCCAUCGAUACUGGUUUUCUUGAGUGUGGAUGAAGUAGGCGGAAUUUGUGGUGUAGCGGUGAAAUGCAUAGAUAUCACGAGGAACUCCGAUUGCGCAGGCAGCUUACUAAACUACUACUGACGCUCAGGCACGAAGGCGUGGGGAUCAAACAGGAUUAGAUACCCCGGUA